AACCAUAGAAACCUGCGGAGUACCUGGGAGGGAUCAUUAUAGUAUAUGGAAUCUCCAUUCUAUAAACCCACUCUGCGUAUCUUGUAACUGUUGCUUCCAUGGGACUUGGUUCCGCCACACCGGCUUCACGGCUGGUGAGCGCCCAUGGAAGGAGAAACAAAACUCUUCUUUGAAAUGUAGUCAGUCUGAACAAGUUUUUAUAAACGUUAAAACUUUUAACAAUGGAUCUCAGAUCGGAAG
rnacentral:misc_RNA from 1 species